CAGUCGCCACGGUAAGACGAACCGUGCAAACGUUACUCGGAAUCACUGGGCUUAAAGCGCACGUAGGCGGCGACAUAAGUUAGAGGUGAAAUCCCAUCGGCUCAACCGGGGAAGUGGCAUCGAUACGACCGGACUGGAGGGGGGUAGGGGGAGCCGGAACUUCCGGUGGAGCGGUGAAAUGCGUUGAGAUCGGAAGGAACGCCCGUGGCGAAAGCGGGCUCCUGGACCCCACCUGACGCUGAGACGCGAAAGCCAGGGGAGCGAACGGGAUUAGAUACCCGAGUAGUCCCUGUCUCUUAUA
rnacentral:rRNA from 1 species